rnacentral:rRNA from 1 species
GGCCUACCAUGGUUUUAACGGGUAACGGGGAAUUAGGGUUCGAUUCCGGAGAGGGAGCCUGAGAAACGGCUACCACAUCCAAGGAAGGCAGCAGGCGCGCAAAUUACCCAAUCCCGACACGGGGAGGUAGUGACAAUAAAUAACAAUACGGGGCUCAUUUGGGUCUCGUAAUUGGAAUGAGUACAAUUUAAAUCUCUUAACGAGGAACAAUUGGAGGGCAAGUCUGGUGCCAGCAGCCGCGGUAAUUCCAGCUCCAAUAGCGUAUAUUAAAGUUGUUGCAGUUAAAAAGCUCGUAGUUGAACUUCGGGGUCUACCCAUUGGUCAGGCUUAAUUGUCUGCACUGGUGAGAUGGAUCUCUACCUUCUGAGGAACUUUCAUGCCAUUUAUUUGGUGUGGUUGGAAAUCAGGACUGUUACUUUGAAAAAAUUAGAGUGUUUAAAGCAGACUAUCGUCUGAAUACAUUAGCAUGGAAUAAUGAAAUAGGACGGACUGAUCCUAUUUCGUUGGUUUCUAGGAUCACCGUAAUGAUUAAUAGGGAUAGUUGGGGGCAUUAGUAUUCAAUUGUCAGAGGUGAAAUUCUUGGAUUUAUUGAAGACUGACUACUGCGAAAGCAUUUGCCAAGGAUGUUUUCAUUAAUCAAGAACGAAAGUUAGGGGAUCGAAGACGAUCAGAUACCGUCGUAGUCUUAACCAUAAACUAUGCCGACUAGGGAUCGGACGAAGUUAAUUUUAUAAUGACGCGUUCGGCACCUUAC